CACGUAGGGUGCGAGCGUUGUUCGGAAUCACUGGGCGUAAAGCGCACGUAGGCGGAUUUGCCAGUCAGGGGUGAAAUCCCGGGGCUCAACCUCGGAACUGCCUUUGAUACAGCAAGUCUUGAGUUCGAGAGAGGUGGGUGGAAUUCCUAGUGUAGAGGUGAAAUUCGUAGAUAUUAGGAAGAACACCGGUGGCGAAGGCGGCCCACUGGCUCGACACUGACGCUGAGGUGCGAAAGCGUGGGGAGCAAACAGG
rnacentral:rRNA from 1 species